rnacentral:rRNA from 1 species
AUACGGAGGGGGCUAGCGUUGUUCGGAAUUACUGGGCGUAAAGCGCGCGUAGGCGGCAUGUCAAGUUGGGUGUGAAAGCCCGGGGCUCAACCCCGGAAUUGCAUUCAAAACUGGCAAGCUAGAGACCGAGAGAGGUGAGUGGAAUUUCCAGUGUAGAGGUGAAAUUCGUAGAUAUUGGAAAGAACACCAGUGGCGAAGGCGGCUCACUGGCUCGGUACUGACGCUGAGGUGCGAAAGCGUGGGUAGCAAACAGGAUUAGAUACCCCGGUAGUCC